UGGUGGCCAUAGCGGUGGUGAAACACCCGAACCCAUCCCGAACUCGGCCGUGAAAACCACCCGCGCCGAUGGUACUGCGUCAAAAGGACGUGGGAGAGUAGGUCGCCGCCAG
rnacentral:rRNA from 1 species